GUUGGCACAGAUUACCUUGGAAGAACAUUUCCUGUGUGUAGCUGUAGUCUCUGAAGUUGUUUUUGAGGACAAGGACAUUUAGACUUUUGCGAGAAGGAUGUGGAACUGUCCCUCUGACUCCAUGGACGUGUGUAAAGGAACGAAUGAAUGUGCGAAUGCCUCCAUCUUGUCUCCCUGUUCCCUCUCUCUGUGCGUGCUGGAGAAGGCACCUCUCACCCCAGCCCACUUCAGGUGUGCUGGUUGCCUCCGCUGACGCUGGGGCUGCCCCUUUGUGGGGCGAGCACAACGGUCCCAGCGCCACCUAGCGGCCAGGGAGCCUGGGAGUUGCGCGUCUCGUUUCCCAGUCCAUGGGAUCCGCGGACUACGCCACCUCGCAGAGUUCCGACGCUCUGGCCACUGCCUCCGUCUGUUUUGUUCUCUCCGGUCCAGAGAGUGCGGAGACUUCCGGGGAGCGAACGUGUACGGGUUUCCAGAGUAACCCCGACAACAGGCAGUGAGAUGGCAGCUCUGAGCAGCUUGCUCUAGAACCAACUGUGCGUCCUCCACUUGGACCAAUACCAAUGGGAGAAGCUGGCCAAGCUCUGAGAAGCCGUGCACACCCAAGGAGCAGAGAUGCCAUGGCUUUUUGGUGGUAUUGGCAGGAUGAUACCAGAGGCUAAAUGAUAAGAGCUGAAUGAAUUCUCCAGGCUGGAUGUGAUCCAGGAACGCAAGAAGGAACAUGACCUCUGCUGUCCUCUUGGCGUCCUCCCCUGCUCUUCCCUGGGACUCCUGCUCAAGGCAGGGCAGGUCUCAGCACAGUCCUGCCAACUGCAGCACUGUUGGUCCUGUUGGUGAUGAAUAAGAAACAUGGACUUUCAAAGGCCCAUUUACUUGGUCCAGGUUGCACAGUGGAAGAGGUAGAGACAAAAUCUGAUGUCAGGGAUUUGACUCAAAGUCAGUGCAAGUCUGAUGUCCAGUAUGUGAUUUGAGGUCAGUCCCGGGUCCACAGGUGAGGGGGAUUGGCUGGGGUUGGAGCAGGUAUUUGGAGGUCAUUGUGGUGACUGGGAUGCUGUCCAUAGUGUCUGGAGCAGGGAGGUUUUUCUCAUAGCUGGGGACUAUCACAUUCAGGGGCAUUAGCCUCUGGGGAGGAAGGAAGAAACUCCCUCACAGAGAGGCAGUGCAGCAGCCAUGGAGGUGAAGGCAGGAGAGGAUCUGAGCAGUGUUCAGGGAAGUUGGCAGCAGGGGUCUCAGGGAAGGGGACCCUAUGGGUGCCCCAUCCCCAGAAGUGUAACGGUGUCCAGUCCUGUGGGUUGAAGACCAUGGCAGUGCCCAAGGUCUCUGGGGCAAGGACUCAAACCACACACCUGCACAGACAUGCUCUGUCCUUGGCUGUCUACCUGCUGUCACAGAAGCAAACAGGCCUGUGCCUGGCCCACUCUGACAACAACACGUCAUCUCCUGGCACUUAUCUUGGCUCUCAGGUUCCCAGCCCUACCCACAUGCAGCCUGUGUGUGUGUGUGUGUGUGUGUGUGUGUGUGUGUGUGUGUGUGUGUAUCUUCCACCUUGGCCUGCAUAAUUCUCUCAAUUCUCUGCUGUUUAUAGGCCUCUCUUGGGUUUGUACAAACACAUGUGCACUUCACACACACACACACACACACACACACACACACACACCCCUCAGUCUAAACUCUGCUUCUCAGUCUCUCCAAUUCAUGUGCAGCCCUGGGUCCUGGAGAACCCCGUUCAUCUUUAAAGGGCCAGGGCUAUUUCUCUUCCCACUGCCUGCUGCCUCCUGCUUUCUUGUGGGCUCAGCUGUGGAGGGGUCUCUGCCAGGCCUGCUGUUGAAUUAGUCCCUGGAAGGUCUUAGGUUCCUGCCCCAGGCUCCAUGCAGGCUUCCCCCACCUGGCCACAGAGCUGGGCAGCCCCCUCCUGGAAGUGGCAUCCCCAGGAGCAGCUGGCCAAGGAAUGACCCUAUAGCUGGGGACAGGCAGGCUGGAAGGGCUUUGUCUGUCUUGGAUUCUUUUCUGUAAAAAUUUUUGUGUAUUUGCCAUGAUGUUCCAUUCAUUUCAGCUGAUGUCACUGUGGUGCACUGGAGCAUCACUGACAUCUGUGUCAAGCAGGAGUAGAGCCAUGACCCGGGAGUCAGGAACCCCUAGACUGGUUCUAGAGGAACCUUAGUUUCCUUAUCAGAUAGAGGAGGGGGUUGGAAGCAAUGGUCUUUGGUGGUUUCAUUCUAAAAUUUUGAGUCACCGUUUGUGGUGACAAAUGCC
ensembl:lncRNA